rnacentral:rRNA from 1 species
UGACUUCGGCGGAGCUAAUACCGGAUAACAUAUUGAACCGCAUGGUUCAAUAGUGAAAGGCGGCUUUGCUGUCACUUAUAGAUGGAUCCGCGCCGUAUUAGCUAGUUGGUAAGGUAACGGCUUACCAAGGCAACGAUACGUAGCCGACCUGAGAGGGUGAUCGGCCACACUGGAACUGAGACACGGUCCAGACUCCUACGGGAGGCAGCAGUAGGGAAUCUUCCGCAAUGGGCGAAAGCCUGACGGAGCAACGCCGCGUGAGUGAUGAAGGUCUUCGGAUCGUAAAACUCUGUUAUCAGGGAAGAACAAAUGUGUAAGUAACUGUGCACAUCUUGACGGUACCUGAUCAGAAAGCCACGGCUAACUACGUGCCAGCAGCC